UACGUAGGGGGCUAGCGUUGUCCGGAUUUAUUGGGCGUAAAGAGCGUGUAGGCGCCAGGUAGGUCUGCUGUGAAAACUCGAGGCUCAACCUCGAGACGUCGGCGGAAACCAUCUGGCUAGACGUCGGAAGAGGAGAGUGGAAUUCCUGGUGUAGCGGUGAAAUGCGCAGAUAUCAGGAAGAACACCCGUGGCGAAAGCGGCUCUCUGGAACGGUACUGACGCUGAGACGCGAAAGCGUGGGGAGCGAACAGG
rnacentral:rRNA from 1 species